UGGGGAAUAUUGGACAAUGGGCGAAAGCCUGAUCCAGCCAUGCCGCGUGUGUGAAGAAGGUCUUCGGAUUGUAAAGCACUUUAAGUUGGGAGGAAGGGUUGUAGAUUAAUACUCUGCAAUUUUGACGUUACCGACAGAAUAAGCACCGGCUAACUCUGUGCCAGCAGCCGCAGUAAUACAGAGGGUGCAAGCGUUAAUCGGAAUUACUGGGCGUAAAGCGCGCGUAGGUGGUUUGUUAAGUUGGAUGUGAAAUCCCCGGGCUCAACCUGGGAACUGCAUCCAAAACUGGCAAGCUAGAGUAUGGUAGAGGGUGGUGGAAUUUCCUGUGUAGCGGUGAAAUGCGUAGAUAUAGGAAGGAACACCAGUGGCGAAGGCGACCACCUGGACUGAUACUGACACUGAGGUGCGAAAGCGUGGGGAGCAAACAGGAUUAGAUACCCCCGUAGUCCCUGAGCGGGCUGGCAAGGCGCAU
rnacentral:rRNA from 1 species